rnacentral:rRNA from 1 species
AGUAAGGGCGACUGAACCGGGAAGAGCCCAGCGCAUAACCUCGUGUCCUAACCCGGCACGAGGGGUGUUGCGUUUCGGAGGGUCCAGCACGCCGUGCCAUACCGCCUAAGUUAGAGCAUGAAUGCAGCCCACUGCCCAUGGAGGGUGUCAGGCCCGUGUGGCGGCGCCCGCGAGGGUAAAGAUGGCACGGUCGGAAAGGGCCUCUCCGUAGAGUCGGGUUGCUUGAUAGUGCAGCCCAAAGCAGGUGGUAAACUCCAUCUAAGGCUAAAUAUGACCACGAGACCGAUAGCGAACAAGUACCGUGAGGGAAAGUUGAAAAGAACUUUGAAGAGAGAGUUCAAGAGUACGUGAAACCGUUAAGAGCCAAACGGAUGGAACCUUGAAGGUCGAACCGAGGGAUUCAGGCGGCCGACCUCGGCUGGGUGCGGGUCUCUCUGUCUGUCCGCCGAUUCAGUCGGAAGCAGCGACCCACGAAUGCUUGGGCGUGCCUGCACCCACGCUGGCGUCGGCCGGCGAUAUUCCCUCGUUGUAGGGCGCCGCGACCCGUUGCUGGGGACGUCGAAGGCCCGGACGGACUGGUAGCCUUGAGUCUUCUUCCUUCUCCUUUUCUCCUUCUUCCGCUUGCCUACCGGCAGCGGCGGGUGAGGAGAAUACACGGGAGGAGGAGGAGUAGGAGGAUUGGCGAAACCGCCGGUGAUCCUGGCGGUCCUGCGACGGUCGCAAAGACGAGCCAGCCCGUGCAAGCGGGCUGUCUCUCGCGGCGUGCAAAGAGAUCGGUGAACCAUCCGACCCGUCUUGAAACACGGACCAAGGAGUCUAACAUGUGUGCGAGUCAGUGGGCGCACUAAACCCAAAGGCGUAAUGAAAGUGACAGGCCUGGCGUGUGCACCUUUCAGUGGUGCAUGGGCUGGAGCCGGGGCCGAUCCCCUCGCCGGGUGCUGACUCUGCUGCCUCCACCUACCAUCCGGCCCCAAGACGGGUAAGCACUGGUCGAGUUUUCCCUUUGCCCCUGUCGACAAGGUGGUGCGGCUUAAGGAGGGUGCUGGCUGCAGGGAAUGCGAUGGCGUGAAAUAUCCUCCAGCCUGCAUGUAUGUAUGUUGUGCAGGAAGGGAAGGGGCGCAGGCCCGGGACUUGCUGUGAUGUCGCCCUCGUCACCGCCGUCGCCGUCGUCGCGAGACGUGCGUGCGAGUGUGUGUGUGGCGGCAGGCAGGGAGCAGCAAGUACCAAGAGCAGACAUGUUGGGACCCGAAAGAUGGUGAACUAUGCCUGGCCAGGAUGAAGCCAGAGGAAACUCUGGUGGAGGUCCGUAGCGAUUCUGACGUGCAAAUCGAUCGUCUGAGCUGGGCAUAGGGGCGAAAGACUAAUCGAAUCAUCUAGUAGCUGGUUCCCUCUGAAGUUUCCCUCAGGAUAGCUGGAAAUCUCAGGAUUAAUUUCAUCCGGUAAAGCGAAUGAUUAGAGGUGUUGGGGACGAAACGUCCUCAACCUAUUCUCAAACUUUAAAUGGGUGAGAUGCCGAGCUUGCUUGAAGAAUAAUGAAGCUCUGGCAACUAAUAUGAGUACCUAGUGGGCCAUUUUUGGUAAGCAGAACUGGCGCUGUGGGAUGAACCAAACGUCGAGUUAAGGGGCCUAAACGAAUGCUCAUUCGGAUCCCACCGAAAGGCGUUGGUUGCUAUAGACAGCAGGACGGUGGCCAUGGAAGUUGGAAUCCGCUAAGGAGUGUGUAACAACUCACCUGCCGAAGCAACUAGCCCUUAAAAUGGCAUGGCGCUCAAGCAUUCUCCCGAUACUCGACCGCCGGGGCACUAGCGGCCACGCUCUGUCUCAGAGGCGAGGAGGUCUCGAAGCCCCGGCGAGUAAGAGGGUCGCGGUGGUGAGCGUUGAAGGGUUUCGGCGUGGGCCGGCCUGGAGCCGCCACCGGUGCAGAUCUUGGUGGUAGUAGCAAAUACUCGAGAGAGGAGCCCUUGAAGGCCGAAGCGGAGCAGGGUUCCAUGUGAACAUCAGUUGGACAUGGGUUAGUCGCUCCUAAGCCCAAGGCUAAGGCCUGAUCCCACGCCAGUGGCAAAGACAUGAAGGCUGGCAGCAGCUGCAGCAGCAGCAGCAGCAGCAGAACGGCUGGAUCCGUUUGUUGUUGCUGCUCUCCGCAGCUGCAGAUGAAGAAGAAGAAGAAGCAUUCGGCGAAAGGCAUAGAAAUGAUUAUUAAAUGCCUCCUCGCUACAGGCUUGACAAGGCCGCCAGUUGCUUCGGGAUCAGUGGCGAAAGGGAAUACGGUACUUAUUCCGUAACCAGGACUCGGAUACCAGGCAGGGAGGGCUGGCUGCUUUAAAUCAGCCAGCCAGCCGCCCUGCCAGUAUGGAGGAUCCCGGAAACGGGAACCUGCUCGCGCCCACCGGCGGUGGUCCGGGAAAGAGUUUUCUUUUCUGUUUAAGGCGCCGUGACCCUCAAAGCCAUCCGCUGUGAGAGAGGGUGUUGGUAACACGGUGUGCCGUAGAGCGCCGCGGUUCUUGCGGCGUCCCGAGCGCCACCGCCGGUCCGUGAAAACGCGAGGCUGGUCCAAACUCCGGCUGAGUCGGGACCACUGUUGCUGCUUGCUCAGUGCCCGCUAAUGGCCCCCUAUUUCGGUCCUGUGCGUACCCAUAUCCGCAUCAGUCUCCA